CCCUUAGAUGUUCGGGGCCGCACGCGCGCUACACUGAAGGAAUCAGCACGUCUUUCUCCUUGUCCAAAAGGACUGGGUAACCCGCUGAACCUCCUUCGUGCUAGGGAUUGGGGCUUGUAAUUCUUCCCCAUGAACGAGGAAUUCCCAGUAAGCGCGAGUCAUAAGCGCGCGUUGAUUACGUCCCUGCCCUUUGUACACACCGCCCGUCGCUACUACCGAUUGGAUGGUUUAGUGAGAUCCUCGGAUUGGUCCCGGAGCGGCCUCUGGUCGUGCCGGAGUGCCGAAAAGAAUGUCGAACUUGAUCAUCUAGAGGAAGUAAAAGUCGUAACA
rnacentral:rRNA from 1 species